UUUCGAAUUAUUCACAAUGGGCGCAAGCCUGAUGGUGCGACGCCGCGUGAGGGAUGAAGGUCUUCGGAUUGUAAACCUCUGUCACCGGGGAAGAAUGGCUCUGACCUAAUACGUCAGGGUUUGACUUAACCCGGAGAGGAAGCAGUGGCUAACUCUGUGCCAGCAGCCGCGGUAAUACAGAGACUGCAAGCGUUAUUCGGAUUCACUGGGCGUAAAGGGUGCGCAGGCGGUUGCGUGUGUUGGGUGUGAAAGCCCGGAGCUCAACUCCGGAAUUGCGCCCAAAACUACGCGACUAGAGUACCGGAGAGGAUAGCGGAAUUCACGGUGUAGCAGUGAAAUGCGUAGAUAUCGUGAAGAACACCAGCGGCGAAGGCGGCUAUCUGGAAGGUAACUGACGCUCAGGCACGAAAGCGUGGGGAGCAAAAGGG
rnacentral:rRNA from 2 species